UUGAGUCUGGAAACCCUUUUCACUGCCCUAGGGCCUGAGGCCUGAAUGCGGCACCCUGAGGAAAGUCACUAAUCGGUUUCCUCCAAUGCUUCUCUAGUCUUCCACGAAGGGCGGGAGCUCCGGGAAAGGAGCUGAUCCCGGGGCAAUAUCCGAGUGACGGGAGGGAGACUACAGGACUGGGUUCGCUGGAGAUAAACGAGGGGGGUCAUGAUGUGAAAGCUCACUGUGUGGACAGUUCUGAGAUUCAAGUGGUGAGGCCAUGGCACAUCUGGACACUGAGGUCAUAGACUUGGUCUGCAAUUCCAGUGAAGGCCUUGUAAGUUUGAAACUGAACACCAAGGAACAAUUGUGCUCUGCGUUCCAGGGGUUGGGGAGAGGGGAAACACACCAUUCCUUGGAAAUCUUACUGCCUUAAGAGGGAUCCCUCAGACAUCAGUGACUUGUGUGAAAGAGGCCUUUGUGCUCUGGAGAAGGAGGCCCUUCUUGAAUGUUGGGACAAAACUUUUAAACAAGGAAUUGUACCACAUCUGGGCAUGAAGCCAGAGAACUGUCUGAGAGCAGGGCUAAGGUUCUCAAAGACUUUCAAGGAGAUUUCCAGCCUCUUCUAUUCCAGUCUAUUUUUUUUUUUUUCCUAAUUGACCAUUUUGUAUAUAUGGAGGUUAUUGGUUUUUUUGCUUUUAUAUCCUGAUACUUUAAUAAAUUUUUUGUUGUUUGUA